GGAAGUAAAAGUCGUAACAAGGUCUCCGUAGGUGAACCUGCGGAGGGAUCAUUACUGAGUUAUCUAACUCCCAAACCAUUGUGAACUUACCACUGUUGCCUCGGCGGCAGGCUCUGUAACAGGAGCGGCCGCCGGUGGACUACUAAACUCUUGUUAAUUUUUGUCAUUCUGAAUAACAAACUUAAUAAGUUAAAACUUUCAACAACGGAUCUCUUGGUUCUGGCAUCGAUGAAGAACGCAGCGAAAUGCGAUAAGUAAUGUGAAUUGCAGAAUUCAGUGAAUCAUCGAAUCUUUGAACGCACAUUGCGCCCAUUAGUAUUCUAGUGGGCAUGCCUGUUCGAGCGUCAUUUCAACCCUUAAGCAUAGCUUAGUAUUGGGAAUCUGCUUAACCGCAGCUCCUUAAAUCUAGUUGGCAGAGUGUAGUUGUACUCUGAGCGUAGUAAUUCAUUAUCUCGCUUUCUGAAGACACUAUUCUAUCGCCAUAAACCUAUUUUUUUUACUGGUUGACCUCGGAUCAGGUAGGAAUACCCGCUGAACUUAAGCAUAUCAAUAAGCGGAGGA
rnacentral:rRNA from 1 species